GAUGAACGCUGACAGAAUGCUUAACACAUGCAAGUCAACUUGAAUUUGGGUUUUUAACUUAGGUUUGGGUGGCGGACGGGUGAGUAACGCGUAAAGAACUUGCCUCACAGCUAGGGACAACAUUUGGAAACGAAUGCUAAUACCUAAUAUUAUGAUAAUAGGGCAUCCUAUAAUUAUGAAAGCUAUAAGCGCUGUGAGAGAGCUUUGCGUCCCAUUAGCUAGUUGGAGAGGUAACGGCUCACCAAGGCGAUGAUGGGUAGCCGGUCUGAGAGGGUGAUCGGCCACAAGGGGACUGAGACACGGCCCUUACUCCUACGGGAGGCAGCAGUGGGGAAUAUUGGACAAUGGACCGAGAGUCUGAUCCAGCAAUUCUGUGUGCACGAUGAAGUUUUUCGGAAUGUAAAGUGCUUUCAGUUGGGAAGAAACAAAUGACGGUACCAACAGAAGAAGUGACGGCUAAAUACGUG
rnacentral:rRNA from 1 species